rnacentral:rRNA from 1 species
AUUGAACGCUGGCGGCAUGCUUUACACAUGCAAGUCGAACGGCAGCGCGGGCUUCGGCCUGGCGGCGAGUGGCGAACGGGUGAGUAAUGCAUCGGAACGUGCCCAGUAGUGGGGGAUAGCCCGGCGAAAGCCGGAUUAAUACCGCAUACGACCUGAGGGUGAAAGCGGGGGACCGAAAGGCCUCGCGCUAUUGGAGCGGCCGAUGUCGGAUUAGCUAGCUGGUGGGGUAAAGGCUUACCAAGGCGACGAUCCGUAGCUGGCCUGAGAGGACGACCAGCCACACUGGGACUGAGACACGGCCCAGACUCCUACGGGAGGCAGCAGUGGGGAAUUUUGGACAAUGGGGGCAACCCUGAUCCAGCCAUGCCGCGUGCGGGAAGAAGGCCUUCGGGUUGUAAACCGCUUUUGUUCGGGAAGAAAUCCUCUGGGCUAAUACCCCGGGGGGAUGACGGUACCGGAAGAAUAAGCACCGGCUAACUACGUG